CGCAGAUGCGGAUAAACCGGAGAUGAGCGCGGCCGAGAAGUAAUCGGUGAGUGGAGAGUUGGGGGCUGAAGGUGGAAGGAAAGAGGGGGCGGAAGGAGGGCGGAGUUGGGAGGAGCUUCGAUCGAAGUCAGCAGCGUGGCUGCCAUGUCUGCUGGGAUCUGCGGGAAGCGUCUAGGGUUGGAGGAAUUUUUCGGAUCUCCAGCUUCGCCGCCUCCGUCGGCCAAGAGAUCGCGCUGCGGACGCUACGGAUCUGAGGAUUUACUCUCAGUGCUCCUCCGCAUGUUCCCUUCCAUGGAUCGGGAGGUUGUUGAAACAGUUCUGAAUUCUCAUGAUCACAAAAUUGACAAUGCCAUCAAGAGUCUCAAUGCUUUGUGCCUCGGUGAUGGUUCCGUGAGUCUUGAAGGAGUUAACUCGAUCUUAAAAUCGAGUGCUCUGGAAGGUGCUUCGAGGUCUCAGGCAUUUGAAGAUAAGGUUGGGUUCUCUCAGAAUGGCGUAGGUUCUCAACCUGUAGAGUCCCAAAAUGGAUCUUCUUGGGUAGAUUUAUUUGUACAGGAAAUGAUGGAUGCUGCGGAUUGGGAUGACGUUCGAAGUCGUGCUAUGAAGAUCCUGGAAGUAUUUAAAGGAGAUGUUGUUACCCGCACCUCGACCGCCAUGGAGAACGAGAACAAUUCCUCGAAAGAACAACUGCAAUGUUUAUUGAGAGAGAACCAAAUCCUAAAGAAAGCUGUUGCAGUCCAGCAUGAGCGGAAUACAGAGAAUGAGGAGAAGAUUAAGGAGGUGCAACAUUUGAAGCAUGUGAUUGGCCAGUAUGAAGAACAAGUCCGGGCACUGGAGAUGAGUAAUUAUACAUUGAUGGUACAUCUUCAGAGAGCACAAGAUGCCAGUUCCAAUAUCGACAUGUGAACAUUGCGUGACCAUUUUAGCGAAGGAGACUCCCUUUACGUGACAAGUAAUCGGAAUAGGGACAAAUCAUCGAACAGACAGUUGUCGAAAAAUUGUUACGGAGAAUCCACCAAAUUGAAAAACAAAGCACAACAGAUGAUACUAUCAAAAGAAUUCAGUUGAUUCGAGAGAAAUGGAAAACACACACACCUAUUUAAUCUGGUGGAGGAUGACAGUAGGGAUUACACUUCAAUAAUGUUCUGGUGCCCUUCACACUUCUGUGAACAAUUGAUGAACAACGUCAUUCUCUUUCUUCAUGACUUCUUGCCAACUGCUCCAUAAAUUACACGACAGACGUCACAGAACAAGACAAAACCACGACCAACUCUCUUUCUCUCCUCUCCAUCUCCCUUCCUAGUGUGCCCGCAAACCAGCCAUGGAGAUUACGGAUCCAGCCACUCCUCGUCGGCUCUACAACAAACCGGAUCAAGAGAGCUGCGGCGGCGGCAACGUCGACGGCCGGAGCAGUGCUAAUAGCUCCUCUCGCUCCUUCGACUGCACCUUCUGCAAGAGAGGGUUCUCCAACGCGCAAGCCCUCGGAGGCCACAUGAACUUGCACCGCAAGGGCAAGACCAGGCUCAACUCCUCCUCUCCUUGCGCCCAAUUCCCUUUCGACGUUGCUGUCGCCGCCGCCGACGGAAUCGCUUGCAUGUCACCCUCUUCUCGAGCGUCGAAGAGCCUCGGCGAGGAUGAAGUGGAGAAGAAGGGGAUGUCCGGCGUGGUGGACGCAGAAUUGGAUCUUGAGCUCCGGCUGGGCCGGUGACGACAAAGUUCAAGAGCAGCGGAGAGUUAUUGUAAUGGUGAGGAAGUAUGCAACUGUUCAUCGAUAUAACGCGGGAAUAAUUAAUACAUGAAUCACCAACACUUGAUACUGGCCGUGAUCAUCCUGUUUGUUUUUAAAAAUAAUUUUUUUAAUAAAAGGAAAAAAUUCAGUCGA